UUAUAAGCAAAAAUUUACAUUUUAGAUUCAUUCAUUUAAUGAUGCACAUGGUCUUUAUUGUAGACCACAUACAUCAUUAAAUGAAUGAACCUAGAAUGUAGUUUUUUUGCUUAUAU
rfam:Medicago truncatula strain A17 chromosome 4, whole genome shotgun sequence.